CCUACGGGCGGCUGCAGUGGGGAAUAUUGGACAAUGGGGGGAACCCUGAUCCAGCCAUGCCGCGUGUGUGAAGAAGGCCCUCGGGUUGUAAAGCACUUUCAGUGAGGAAGAACGCCUGGUGGUUAAUACCCAUCAGGAAAGACAUCACUCACAGAAGAAGCACCGGCUAACUCCGUGCCAGCAGCCGCGGUAAUACGGAGGGUGCGAGCGUUAAUCGGAAUUACUGGGCGUAAAGCGCGCGUAGGUGGCUUGAUAAGCCGGUUGUGAAAGCCCCGGGCUCAACCUGGGAACGGCAUCCGGAACUGUCAAGCUAGAGUGCAGGAGAGGAAGGUAGAAUUCCCGGUGUAGCGGUGAAAUGCGUAGAGAUCGGGAGGAAUUCCAGUGGCGAAGGCGGCCUUCUGGACUGACACUGACACUGAGGUGCGAAAGCGUGGGUAGCAAACAGGAUUAGAUACCCUGGUAGUC
rnacentral:rRNA from 1 species